AUACGUACAUACAUGCAUUCAAUAAUUAUCGAUAGAAAAAUUAGCACAUAUAUUGAUAGUUUUUCUUGUCUUCAUUUUCCUGUAAACAGCAAUGAAGUUAGCCGAUUAUUAACGAUCUCUUAACGUAUUUUUUAAACGUAUUUAAACAGGAACAUAACGUUAAAGAAAUAAAUUAUUGACGAAACUUAAUCUGAAAAAUGGUUCGACAACACAGAUGAUUCUUCAAUAUUAACCAUUAAUUAUUACAAUUGUAUAUUCGUCAAAUAUUCAUCCUCUAAUAAGUAGAAUAAAAGAUGGAAUGUAAGAAAAGAAAUAGAGAACUUCAUCGAAGAAAUUAUUGGACAUUAUCAUCAACGUUUCAUAUCUGAAUUAGAAAUGCUUCUUAGAAGCUUGGCACAACAGGCGCUUCGGAUGCUGUACUCGCCAAAUUCCUUGGCUUGCAGACGCAACCGCUCUCAACCAGCACGUAAUCCUGACCGGUUAGGGUCACCGGCCCCAAAGGAAUCACCAAAAACAAAAAAAAGAAGACUCGAUUGAUAUUCGUUUGCAAUUAUAUCAUAAAAAGGAUUUACUUCGAUUAAAUAUUUAACACUAGCCUUUAUUCGAAAAAUAAUUGAAGAGUAGGCCAAAGUAUGUUAUUUACGAACAUUAAGUAUCGUAGAACGUAUCUGGCCUAGUGUGCUACAUUUGAAAUAAAACGAAUCGCUGACAGAACGACAAGAAUUUUAAUUCGAAACUCUCUCGUUUAUAUUUCAACAAGUUACACGUUUUCUUUUACAUGAUAGUAAGAGAAAUUCUAAUAUUGAUGAUAUAAAUAUAGAAUACUUACUCGCAGACUUCGAAUACGACUUGCUGAAGAAGAUCAGGAAACUUUUGUACGAUUGUCACUGGUUGACCACUCGUCAAACUGACACCAUACAUAGGUGCUGUGGUGUUAUACCUUGUUUUACAGAGUCUGCUUGGAGAGCCGCAGCUUUCCUUUGCAGAAAAUCCUCGACCUAAAAAUUAUAAGAAAUAAAAAAAUUAAUGUAACAAUCCAUAAGCCAAAAUAUCAAAAGAUCGAUCAGAAGAAACAUAGGGAAGGGCUAGAUCCUUAGAUCUAUGAGAUCAAAACGGAAGAUGAUCGACAUCAUGAUCGAGAGGGGUCGUCUUCGCUCUUUCCUCGGAAUUCCUCGGAAUUCUUCGGAGCGACGAACGUGCACAAGUUGACGUUCGAAAGGAACGUGAGUGGGUCGCCUACGAAUACCGUUAUAAGCACAACGAACGAUAACUGUAUUGACUGGAUAACAUGGUGCCUUAUUACCCGUCUUCCGUCCCAAAGGAUUCCUUCUCAUCAGAGGAUAACUUUAAAGCGAUAUGACAUGUAAUACUAUCUGCCUAGAUAACUAAACUAAAAAUGAUUGACUUGGAUCGAUUUAGGUCAUAAUCAUAACUCCGAAUCGACCUAUUUAUGAUUACAAAGAGAUGCAAGAAAUAAUGACGAAUAAUUUCGCCUUCGUUCCAUACAUCUUUGAAUCUUUAUGGUUGACGGUCUUAUGUUCGUUUCUAUCUGACCACCCAUAAAAAAAAAAGUAACUUUAUUUUUUAUUUCAGAAUUCGGUCAAAUUCAUUUCCCUUGAACGUUGCAAAAUUUAUCAGGAAAAAGAAUUUUAUUUGGACAAUUUAUAAAAGAAAUUCAUUGAAAGAAGCUUUUCGUAUUAAUCUAUGAUGUCAGAGUGUAACUAAUUUUCUUUCCUUUUAGUUUCCGUUAAAACGAUUCGAUACAUCUUUUUUUUUUUUUUUUUUUUUUUUUGAAAGGUAGAAUAGUUAUGGAUCAUAUUUAAAA